AUUGAACGCUGGCGGCAGGCUUAGCACAUGCAAGUCGAGCGGAGAUGAGGUGCUUGCACCUUAUCUUAGCGGCGGACGGGUGAGUAAUGCUUAGGAAUCUGCCUAUUAGUGGGGGACAACAUUCCGAAAGGAAUGCUAAUACCGCAUACGCCCUACGGGGGAAGCAGGGGAUCUUCGGACCUUGCGCUAAUAGAUGAGCCUAAGUCGGAUUAGCUAGUUGGUGGGGUAAAGGCCUACCAAGGCGACGAUCUGUAGCGGGUCUGAGAGGAUGAUCCGCCACACUGGGACUGAGACACGGCCCAGACUCCUACGGGAGGCAGCAGUGGGGAAUAUUGGACAAUGGGCGGAAGCCUGAUCCAGCCAUGCCGCGUGUGUGAAGAAGGCCUUUUGGUUGUAAAGCACUUUAAGCGAGGAGGAGGCUACCUGGAUUAAUACUCUAGGAUAGUGGACGUUACUCGCAGAAUAAGCACCGGCUAACUCUGUGCCAGCAGCCGCCGUAAAAC
rnacentral:rRNA from 1 species